UACGUAGGGUGCGAGCGUUGUCCGGAAUUAUUGGGCGUAAAGAGCUCGUAGGCGGUUUGUUGCGUCUAUCGUGAAAACCUGCAGCUUAACUGUGGGCUUGCGGUGGAUACGGGCAGACUUGAGUUCGGUAGGGGAGACUGGAAUUCCUGGUGUAGCGGUGAAAUGCGCAGAUAUCAGGAGGAACACCGGUGGCGAAGGCGGGUCUCUGGGCCGAUACUGACGCUGAGGGGCGAAAGCGUGGGGAGCGAACAGG
rnacentral:rRNA from 1 species